GGCACCGGGGCGGAGGUUCCCGCAAAAGCCAUGCCCGCCCAGCCCCCGGAUUUCGGGCCCAGUUGUGUGGAAGAGAAGCAGAAACCUGCGCCAGGGCCUGGGGCCUCGACCUUCGAAGACCCCCAGGCCCCCAUUCCCGCCCCCCCCCCAAGGUACUGUGCUAAACUGUUGACACAGAAAACUGCUGAACCCUUACCCCAGCCUUGCAAGAUUUAUCUUCAUUGAUAGAGGCAGAAGCAGAAGCCUAAGUUCGAGCCUAAGUUCAAGUUAGUGUUGCUUCUGCUCUAUGAAGACUCUCUGGUCCGUCCCAAACAGGCAGGACGGAAGAGGGAGAAUGUGUUCUUGGAGAAGGAGAUGACCGGACAAGGAGGGCUGCAGGAGAGAUCUGGGGGCCAAGAGAGGCUGCAGCAUGGAGGGAGCAAAGUUGGUGUCCUUGAAUUUCAAAGGCAUGUAAAUAUCAGCAUCCCAACUGGAGCGCAGCGGUUUUUCUCCUGCUUGUUGCCGAAAGGAAGCCAAGAGGCAGGGGAGUUGGUUCCAGCCCUUAGCUGGGCUUUCUGAACCUACGGAUUACAUGAGCGCAAACCCAGGUAGAUCACCACUGGACCUUCGAAAUGAGGGAAAAAUUGAAACAGAAGACAAAAACAGCGAUGCGAGUCCCUCGUGAAAUUAACCAGGAUCCACACAUCAUGAAUAUAGAUGACCAUUGGGCGUCAUCUGCUACACAAACUACAGGGUCGUGGUCACUCCAUCCUAGACGACUGCUUUCUGAAGGCAUUUUCAACUCGCUAAUAAUGCUCAUUCUCCAUCAGCGUGCUCCGUCUGUCUGGGGGAAGGAUUUUGUUGACUGCAAUUUGAAACUUCCGUCGAAUUUAAGGGGUAGUGGCAACUCAGACAGCAGCUUAUACACCUGUGUUCCUGCGAUGCUCUUUCCGUCACAGCCCUGGGCAGCUUUUUGGACCUUUUGGCUGCCAUCCUUUUCCAGCCGAGAAGCUUUUCUUCUGUUUUAUGCUACCACCACCUGCUGUCCUGUUCCUACCACACAGAAACUCGUCUCCCCUUUUCCCAAAGGAACGAAUCUGACUGCAAGGCCACGAUAGGAAUAUCUUUCAGGGAGAUUAAGCAAUGACACAACUUUUCGAGGCUUAAUUUUAAAAGCACAGACUUUUAAAAUGAACGUGUUAUUUUAAAUGCCUGUAAAGAAAGUACUUUUCUUUUAGUCAUGUGAUGAUAAAGGGCUGAAUAUGAUUUUCACCAUGGCAAGAGGAAACGAUCGGAUGGGUGAUCCUUUUCAUUUAUUUUUAUUUAACAAACAUUUAAAUCGUGUUUAGUAUAUGUCGGGCACUAUUUUAAGUUCUCUAUCAGGAUAAGUCUUGUAAUCCUUAUAACAACCCUGUGAAGUAGGUUCUAUUAUUAUUCCCAUUUUGGAGAUGAGAGACCCAAGGCACAAAGAGGUCAAAUAACAUGCUCAGGGUUGCUGUAGUGGGUUACGUUCGUGUUUAAAAUAUUAGAUGCUCCUCCCUGUUGGCAUCAGUCUCAGCUAUGUUACUUGCAGUGCUUUCCUUUCUCCAUGUACAUUCGGCCUGACCGGGUGACUGGCAUUGUCCUAUGACAUCUGAACAGAGCAAAAGGUUCCGAGCAAAAGCCUUUUUUUAAAAAAAAGUCAGCUCAGAGUCCACCAUGUUCUUCCCUUCUUUAUCCAGGAAAGCAGUAGUGUUUGAGAGAGGGGAUGUUCUUUCAUAUUGGAUUUGAGAAUAAAGACAGAUGGAGCGGAACUGGAGCUGACCCC
rnacentral:lncRNA from 1 species